AGUGAACGCUGGCGGUAGGCCUAACACAUGCAAGUCGAACGGCAGCACAGUAAGAGCUUGCUCUUACGGGUGGCGAGUGGCGGACGGGUGAGGAAUACAUCGGAAUCUACUUUUUCGUGGGGGAUAACGUAGGGAAACUUACGCUAAUACCGCAUACGACCUACGGGUGAAAGCAUGGGAUCUUCGGACCUUGCGCGAUUGAAUGAGCCGAUGUCGGAUUAGCUAGUUGGCGGGGUAAAGGCCCACCAAGGCGACGAUCCGUAGCUGGUCUGAGAGGAUGGUCAGCCACACUGGAACGGAGACACGGUCCAGACUCCUACGGGAGGGAGCAGUGGGGAAUAUUGGACAAUGGGCGCAAGCCUGAUCCAGCCAUACCGCGUGGGUGAAGAAGGCCUUCGGGUUGUAAAGCCCUUUUGUUGGGAAAGAAAAGCAGCAGGUUAAUACCCCGCUGUUCUGACGGUACCCAAAGAAUAAGCACCGGCUAACUUCGUG
rnacentral:rRNA from 1 species